GACGAACGCUGGCGGCGUGCUUAACACAUGCAAGUCGAGCGGUAAGGCCCUUUCGGGGGUACACGAGCGGCGAACGGGUGAGUAACACGUGGGUGACCUGCCCUCAGCUCUGGGAUAAGCCUGGGAAACUGGGUCUAAUACCGGAUAUGACUCCAUGACGCAUGUUGUGGGGUGGAAAGCCUUGUGCGGCUGAGGAUGGGCCCGCGGCCUAUCAGCUUGUGGUGGGGGAUGGCCUACCAAGGCGACGACGGGUAGCCGGCCUGAGAGGGCGACCGGCCACACUGGGACUGAGACACGGCCCAGACUCCUACGGGAGGCAGCAGUGGGGAAUCUUGCGCAAUGGGCGAAAGCCUGACGCAGCGACGCGCGUGAGGAUGACGC
rnacentral:rRNA from 1 species